CCUGCACAUGUGGUGAUCAACACUCGCAUUAAGAGGUGCGAGGAUAGCAUCCUUCCAUGAGAAUUUUAUCACCAUUUUUAAUUUUCUAGAAUCUAGAUUGAAUCCUCAAUCCAUGUAGAUUUUUGAGAAUUUUUUUGAUUUGCGAAGGGAUGUGGAAACAUCCCUUCUUUGGUUGCACGCACGCAGACCAGAGUGCUGAUCGACGUAUCAUGGAUAAGAAUCCUUCUGCUUGAAAGAAGUCUUAUCUCUGAUAAUCAGAUCAGAUAAGCCUUUUGGGAUAAGGCAUGUCCCUCUCUUUUGGCAUCCCUCUAGUAGCUAUAAAUAGGCUGGAGUGCUGGGUAUCGGAUGAAUCUAAGAGGGAUUUCCAAUUUCUCUCCUGUUGCUCUCCUUUCUUUUUUACAACCUAUCUUAGUUUUAGGACAAGGAUUUAGGAUUUAAGACAGCCUUAUCUGGUCCUAACAAGGGUUGUAAAGGUCCUAAAGAAGGAGAAUCAAAAGUUCAGAGGAGGUUCUAAGAGGGUAAGGUCAGGUUCUUGAAGAAACUUGACCGGUACAAGGCUAGUCGAGUUCUAGAGGCUAGAACUCUUGAAGCAAGGUGAAGAAGGAAUGCUGUCUUUGAUUCAAUUUUCGUGUGGAUCACCAUUGAAGGGUGGAUACUUUGACAUCUUGUGAAAAUUGAGAUUAGCACUAUAGAUAUUCUUCUUAUCCUAAUUUAUAUUUAUUAUGCUUUGAUUAUUAUAGUCAAGAGUUUCUGGACAUUAGGGCUUCCAGUGCAUCUAGAAUCAACUUGCCGAUAUCGAUAAAAUAAAAACAAGCAUGCAAAAGAGAUAGAAUUUUUAUUUUCACCAAAAAAAAAUGACACAUUGGUGUUCUCUACGAGUCUCCAAAGUAGAAGUCCUCCAAUGAUGAUCCAUACGAAAGUUGGCCAAGAUCUUUUCUAACCGGUGCACCGUUGCAGCCUUGUCUUCUCACGAACACUGCCAACUUCGAACUAGUGGUACGAUCAUGCCAAAAUCCAAUCGCCUCCAAGCUUGCCACUAGGAUCACGUCAAGAAGUUACUCUUCAGAUGUCUCAUAAUUUAGGAUUUGAUUUUUAGUUUCAACAUAUGGAAAAACCAAAUCCUAGAGCACACAAGCAACACUUGCUAAAAAUCUCACCACCCUUCUUGCAACUUUUACCACAUAAUUUUUUCUAGUCUUUUUCUCAAAUUUUUUUAAAUUUUUUUUAUGAUUUUCAC
rnacentral:lncRNA from 1 species